rnacentral:tRNA from 1 species
GCCUUCGUGGUGUAGUGGUUCUGCACGCUGGGCCAGUAUUCCAGAGGUCUGUGGUUCGAUUCCUGGCGAAGGCG